UAUCGAGUGCAUUUGGAUUCCUCCGGCUCUGGAGACGAGGAAGAGAUGGUUACAACAUCUCAUCCAACGACUCUAAUGUGACUCAGUCUCUCAACACUUCAUAAUGUUUGCAGAGCGCUUCAACCAGUCCACUCUGAAAGACAACCAACGGAGCUCGACACUUUUUCUCCAACGUUACGACAACUAAUCAUGAAUACGGUUUUCUUUUUAAAGCUGCUGCACAGCUUACAACUCUGUUAUACAUACAAGCAUUUAUAUGUAUGUUAUUACAUUCAUUUAUGUUGGAUAAAUAGUAUUAAUUAUCUUCUUUGAGAAAGGAGUUUCAUGUACUUGCUAUAGGUCAGGAGAUAUACACGGGAAAAUGUGUGUCGUCAUUCUCAUUUCUGACCACUAGAGGCAGAAGUGCACCGAUAUUUUCUUUCAGGUACUUUAAUUUCUUGAUGCACUUAAAAAAACAAAACAUGUAGCUACAUAUAAAAGGCAUUAAUCUUAAUAAGUGAUCUUAUAUUACUGUGUUUUUGUCAUAUAAUAAAUACUUUUUGAAUGCAGAGAA